rnacentral:lncRNA from 1 species
GAGGACGGUUAACAGGUGGCCGACGGCGAAGGGCAACCGGUGGGUGGCAGCAUGCAACCUACGGAGGACGGCGGUUUUUUGGAGCGAUUUUCAGGCAUUUCGAGGGGUUCGGGCAUUUUUCGACAGUUUUUUGAGUUUGGGACUUUUUUCAGUUAUUUUUUAGCAAAUUGUGGUGUUAGAGCCUUUUGGUGACCUUAGUGUCACUUUUGAGUAAUUUGAGUCAUACUGACAUUAAG